UCCAGAUGAAAUCACGGUUCCCAACAAAAACAAAAACAAGGACUUUGGCCGGGUUACCUAAUUGCUCUGAACCUUAGUUUCCUCAUCUGCAAAAUGUACCGUACAACCUCUCUGUUACAUGGAUUAGAAAUGAUGUCAUCGUAGCUAUUCACAGCAAUGACAAAUGAAAACACUCACCCUCUCCAGAGGAAGAAGUGGCGGAGGGCCAAUGGCCAUGCAAGCAUGUUCUUUUUCACUUUAUUUUAUUUUUGUGUUUUGCUUUUUGUGUUCUGGUUUUAGCCGAGUAUUCUCUCACAGCAUGGCCGAUGUGGAAAUAUGUUUUGCAUGAUCAUACAGAAGAGCAAAGACAAGAAAUGAUGUCAUCCCGAAAGCUCACCUAUCUACAUCUUUCUGACCAGAAUUGCCUACAUGGAGACGCCGAUUACCUUCUGGGGUUUUCUGGCAUAAAGGACAAAAGGAAGAACUUAGAGGGAAUGAACACAGAGGUCCCAGGACAUCACUCAAAUUUGCUGACUGAAGCUGAGAAGACCUGCUUCUCUCUGUAUGACCGGAUUGGGGGGAAUGAGUUGCUCUCUAAUUCCCACAUCUCUUUCUGCCCAAUUUUCUCUCUCUAAAAGAACAUAAACUCCUUGAGGGCGUGGACUAAUUUUUGUCUUUGUAUCUUCAGUAUUUGGCACACUGCCUGCCUUGUACAUAGUAGGUCCUUACCCCUUAAUAAAUAUUUGAUGUAUUAAAUUAACUCUCUUUCU
rnacentral:lncRNA from 1 species